UAGGGAAUAUUGCACAAUGGAGGAAACUCUGAUGCAGCGACGCCGCGUGAGUGAUGAAGGCCUUCGGGUCGUAAAGCUCUGUCGCAGGGGAAUAACACAAUGAAGGUACCCUGUAAGAAAGGAUCGGCUAACUUCGUGCCAGCAGCCGCGGUAAGACGAGGGAUCCUAGCGUUGUUCGGAAUCAUUGGGCGUAAAGCGGAUGUAGGUGGCUAUGUAAGUCAGAUGUGAAAGCCUGGGGCUCAACCCCAGAAGUGCAUUUGAUACUGCGUAGCUUGAGUGUCGGAGAGGUUACUAGAAUUGUUGGUGUAGUGGUGAAAUACGUAGAUAUCAACAGGAAUACCGGAGGCGAAGGCGGGUAACUGGCCGAACACUGACACUGAGAUCCGAAAGCGUGGGGAUCAAACA
rnacentral:rRNA from 1 species